ACUAUUCUACAUCUGUGUCUGUUACUGGAAAACCGCCUUCACGAGAAACCCAAGUUAAGGGAAUGACCGUCAACGCUUUCCUGCAGAUUGAUGGAGAUACCACUCACUGGGCCCUUCUCACUCCACUUUGUCAGAUGUGUGGCAUGGCCUGUGUUCUUGCUGGGAGUAAUGGCAAUCUCCUCGCACACCUGGUUGUUGGCAUGGGAGUCAUUGUCUAGCAGCAGAGGAAAUUCCAAACUUCCUUUUCCUGAGCAGCUUUGUUUUCUGUAUUUAAUGAAUGCCAAACAUCAACCAUGUCUGCAAAUUUCCUCUUUGGUGUAGAGAGCAAGAAACUUGAAUUUAUGGUCUUCCUUGCAAUUAGAAGUGACAAAAGAGACACCAUCCUCACCAAAGAGACAAAGUAAAUAAAGUUCUGCUGAGAAGGUAAAGCAAAGUAGUUAGGGUUUGGACAAUUGUUUGUUUAAACCCCGCCCCCAUAACUUCCUAAAAAGAAGAUGGUCAUGUCCAUGCAAGAAGUGGCCGCCAUCUUGCAAGCUCCAAGCACCAACAAGACUGAUGCCAAAGAAUUGAGAGGUGUAUGGAAGGAGAGAACGAAUGGGACCCCAACCAUGUGAGCACUGAAGUUUCUGUUCUUUGCGGCAGAAAGCAUUCCUAAGUGACAUAUAUUUUAAUUAAAAUCUGGGAAAUUUUGUGAUUGCGUUUAUGUCAACGUAUACAAAACAUGAUGAAUCUUCGAAUGAAAAAUCCAAAAAGUGAGAAAACACAUUUUGAAACUUUUAAAAGAUUUAAAUGUCUUCAUUUUGGAGAAGACCGUAUUUUGCAGAUAAAAUGAAAAGAUCUAUAGACUGCCACAUAAAAUUUUGAUUAUGGAGAACCAGAGUGGGGAAUGUUAUUAAAAUUGAGACUCUCCUAGAAAAUCCUAGAAAAUUGUCUGUUGAGUUUAUAUCUUUAAGCCACUUUUUUAAAGCACUUUUAUUUUACUUUAAUCAGAGAAUUUAAUUUUAC